UGGGGAAUUUUCCGCAAUGGGCGCAAGCCUGACGGAGCAACGCCGCGUGAGGGAGGAAGGCCUGUGGGUUGUAAACCUCUUUUCUCUGGGAAGAUAAUGACGGUACCAGAGGAAUCAGCAUCGGCUAACUCCGUGCCAGCAGCCGCGGUAAGACGGAGGAUGCAAGCGUUAUCCGGAAUUAUUGGGCGUAAAGCGUCCGUAGGCGGUUUUAUAAGUCAACUGUUAAAGACCGGGGCUUAACCCUGGGAGUGCAGUUGAAACUGUGAGACUGGAGCGUGGUAGGGGUAGAGGGAAUUCCUAGUGUAGCGGUGAAAUGCGUAGAUAUUAGGAAGAACACCAGUGGCGAAGGCGCUCUACUGGGCCAUGACUGACGCUGAUGGACGAAAGCUAGGGGAGCGAAAGGGAUUAGAUACCCCCGUAGUCC
rnacentral:rRNA from 1 species